rnacentral:rRNA from 1 species
AUUGAACGCUGGCGGCAGGCCUAACACAUGCAAGUCGAGCGAGCGGCGGACGGGUGAGUAAUGUCGGGGAAACUGCCUGAUGGCGGGGGAUAACUACUGGAAACGGUAGCUAAUACCGCAUACCAUCAGAUGUGCCCAGAUGGGAUUAGCUAGUAGGGGGGGUAACGGCUCACCUAGGCGACGAUCCCUAGCUGGUCUGAGAGGAUGACCAGCCACACUGGAACUGAGACACGGUCCAGACUCCUACGGGAGGCAGAAGUGGGGAAUAUUGGACAAUGGGCGAAAGCCUGAUGCAGCCAUGCCGCGUGUGUGAAGAAGGCCUUCGGGUUGUAAAGCACUUUCAGCGGGGAGGCGUUACCCACAGAAGAAGCAACGGCUAACUCCGUGCCAGCAGCCGCGGUAAUUC